CAAAUCCUCUCAACUCUCUCUCUCUAGAAAUAAGUCCGGCGAGAAUUCCGGCCGACUCCCGGCGGAGCUCCGGCGACCGGCGACUUUCAGGCGGAGAUCCGGCAACCAACGAUUUUCCGGCGAAUUUUCCGGCGGCCGUUUUUCGGUCAAGAGUACACUUUUUCGACUAUAUCCGACGUUCCGGAUCGCGUGGUGAGAUGCUUAGAUCGGGACUUGAGGAGCAUUUCUGCAAAUUUUCAAGAAAUUUUAUUCUCCGGCGAAAUUCCGACUUCUGACAUGGUUUUGGCGAGGUUCCAACCGUCCGUUUUCGACGAAAAUUAUAUUUUUGGGCUCCUAGUGACCCGUAGAGUCCAUACGAAACACUUUCGUCUCGGGUGAAAAUUUAAGUUCGGGACGCUCUCGGGCUCGGGUCAACGCAGUCAACAGGUCAAACACGGGUCAAGAGGCAGUUUUGGGUCAUUUUUAGUGCCUCGGUUCAGUUUCGGGUCCGGUCAACCCUGGUCAACACGGGUCAAACGUGGUCAAAGGUGGUCAAAGCUGGUCAAACUCAGUCAACUGCUGGUCAACACAGUCAACUAAGUCAACACGAGGCUCGGAAUACUAUAGAUGCACGCUAGCCAAAUCACGUCCUUGGAACGACACUACGGAAUCACGCUAGGCUAGCAUUCCACAUGGAAGUCCAGGUUGCAUUUUUAAGACUAUGGAACGGUUGGAAUAGGAGAACCCAUGGGAAUUU